rnacentral:rRNA from 1 species
AACGAACGCUGGCGGCAGGCCUAACACAUGCAAGUCGAGCGAGGACUUCGGUCCUAGCGGCGGACGGGUGAGUAACGCGUGGGAACGUGCCCUUUGCUUCGGAAUAGCCCUGGGAAACUGGGAGUAAUACCGGAUGAGCCCUUUGGGGGAAAGAUUUAUCGGCGAAGGAUCGGCCCGCGUUGGAUUAGGUAGUUGGUGGGGUAAUGGCCUACCAAGCCGACGAUCCAUAGCUGGUUUGAGAGGAUGAUCAGCCACACUGGGACUGAGACACGGCCCAGACUCCUACGGGAGGCAGCAGUGGGGAAUCUUAGACAAUGGGGGAAACCCUGAUCUAGCCAUGCCGCGUGAGCGAUGAAGGCCUUAGGGUUGUAAAGCUCUUUCAGCUGGGAAGACAAUGACGGUACCAGCAGAAGAAGCCCCGGCUAACUCCGUG